GGGUUGUGAGGUUAAGCGACUAAGCGUACACGGUGGAUGCCCUGGCAGUCAGAGGCGAUGAAGGACGUGCUAAUCUGCGAAAAGCGUCGGUAAGGUGAUAUGAACCGUUACAGCCGGCGAUGUCCGAAUGGGGAAACCCAGUGCAAUUCGUUGCACUAUCGUUAACUGAAUACAUAGGUUAACGAGGCGAACCGGGGGAACUGAAACAUCUAAGUACCCCGAGGAAAAGAAAUCAACCGAGAUUCCCCCAGUAGCGGCGAGCGAACGGGGAGCAGCCCAGAGUCUGAAUCAGCUUGUGUGUUAGUGGAACGGUCUGGAAAGUCCGACGGUACAGGGUGAUAGUCCCGUACACCAAAAUGCACAGGCUGUGAACUCGAAGAGUAGGGCGGGACACGUGGUAUCCUGUCUGAAUAUGGGGGGACCAUCCUCCAAGGCUAAAUACUCCUGACUGACCGAUAGUGAACCAGUACCGUGAGGGAAAGGCGAAAAGAACCCCGGCGAGGGGAGUGAAAAAGAACCUGAAACCGUGUACGUACAAGCAGUGGGAGCACCUUCGGGUGUGACUGCGUACCUUUUGUAUAAUGGGUCAGCGACUUAUAUUCUGUAGCAAGGUUAACCGUAUAGGGGAGCCGCAGGGAAACCGAGUCUUAACUGGGCGUUAAGUUGCAGGGUAUAGACCCGAAACCCGGUGAUCUAGCCAUGGGCAGGUUGAAGGUUGGGUAACACUAACUGGAGGACCGAACCGACUAAUGUUGAAAAAUUAGCGGAUGACUUGUGGCUGGGGGUGAAAGGCCAAUCAAACCGGGAGAUAGCUGGUUCUCCCCGAAAGCUAUUUAGGUAGCGCCUCGUGAAUUCAUCUUCGGGGGUAGAGCACUGUUUCGGCUAGGGGGUCAUCCCGACUUACCAACCCGAUGCAAACUACGAAUACCGAAGAAUGUUAUCACGGGAGACACACGGCGGGUGCUAACGUCCGUCGUGAAGAGGGAAACAACCCAGACCGCCAGCUAAGGUCCCAAAGUCACAGUUAAGUGGGAAACGAUGUGGGAAGGCACAGACAGCCAGGAUGUUGGCUUAGAAGCAGCCAUCAUUUAAAGAAAGCGUAAUAGCUCACUGGUCGAGUCGGCCUGCGCGGAAGAUGUAACGGGGCUAAACUGUGCACCGAAGCUGCGGCAGCGACACUAUGUGUUGUUGGGUAGGGGAGCGUUCUGUAAGCCUGCGAAGGUGGCCUGUGAGGGUUGCUGGAGGUAUCAGAAGUGCGAAUGCUGACAUAAGUAACGAUAAUGCGGGUGAAAAGCCCGCACGCCGGAAGACCAAGGGUUCCUGUCCAACGUUAAUCGGGGCAGGGUGAGUCGACCCCUAAGGCGAGGCCGAAAGGCGUAGUCGAUGGGAAACAGGUUAAUAUUCCUGUACUUGGUGUUACUGCGAAGGGGGGACGGAGAAGGCUAUGUUAGCCGGGCGACGGUUGUCCCGGUUUAAGCAUGUAGGCGGAGGUUCCAGGUAAAUCCGGUACCUUUUUAACGCUGAGGUGUGAUGACGAGGCACUACGGUGCUGAAGUAACAAAUGCCCUGCUUCCAGGAAAAGCCUCUAAGCAUCAGGUAACAUUAAAUCGUACCCCAAACCGACACAGGUGGUCAGGUAGAGAAUACCAAGGCGCUUGAGAGAACUCGGGUGAAGGAACUAGGCAAAAUGGUGCCGUAACUUCGGGAGAAGGCACGCUGAUAUGUAGGUGAAGCCCCUGCGGGUGGAGCUGAAAUCAGUCGAAGAUACCAGCUGGCUGCAACUGUUUAUUAAAAACACAGCACUGUGCAAACACGAAAGUGGACGUAUACGGUGUGACGCCUGCCCGGUGCCGGAAGGUUAAUUGAUGGGGUUAUCCGUAAGGAGAAGCUCUUGAUCGAAGCCCCGGUAAACGGCGGCCGUAACUAUAACGGUCCUAAGGUAGCGAAAUUCCUUGUCGGGUAAGUUCCGACCUGCACGAAUGGCGUAAUGAUGGCCAGGCUGUCUCCACCCGAGACUCAGUGAAAUUGAACUCGCUGUGAAGAUGCAGUGUACCCGCGGCAAGACGGAAAGACCCCGUGAACCUUUACUAUAGCUUGACACUGAACAUUGAGCCUUGAUGUGUAGGAUAGGUGGGAGGCUUUGAAGCGUGGACGCCAGUCUGCGUGGAGCCAACCUUGAAAUACCACCCUUUAAUGUUUGAUGUUCUAACGUUGGCCCCUUAUCGGGGUUGCGGACAGUGUCUGGUGGGUAGUUUGACUGGGGCGGUCUCCUCCCAAAGAGUAACGGAGGAGCACGAAGGUUAGCUAAUCCUGGUCGGACAUCAGGAGGUUAGUGCAAUGGCAUAAGCUAGCUUGACUGCGAGCGUGACGGCGCGAGCAGGUGCGAAAGCAGGUCAUAGUGAUCCGGUGGUUCUGAAUGGAAGGGCCAUCGCUCAACGGAUAAAAGGUACUCCGGGGAUAACAGGCUGAUACCGCCCAAGAGUUCAUAUCGACGGCGGUGUUUGGCACCUCGAUGUCGGCUCAUCACAUCCUGGGGCUGAAGUAGGUCCCAAGGGUAUGGCUGUUCGCCAUUUAAAGUGGUACGCGAGCUGGGUUUAGAACGUCGUGAGACAGUUCGGUCCCUAUCUGCCGUGGGCGCUGGAGAAUUGAGGGGGGCUGCUCCUAGUACGAGAGGACCGGAGUGGACGCAUCACUGGUGUUCGGGUUGUCAUGCCAAUGGCAUUGCCCGGUAGCUAAAUGCGGAAGAGAUAAGUGCUGAAAGCAUCUAAGCACGAAACUUGCCCCGAGAUGAGUUCUCCCUGACUCCUUGAGAGUCCUGAAGGAACGUUAAAGACGAUGACGUUGAUAGGUCGGAUGUGUAAGCGUAGCGAUACGUUGAGCUAACCGAUACUAAUGAACCGUGAGGCUUAACCUUACAACGCCGAAGGUGUUU
rnacentral:rRNA from 1 species